rnacentral:rRNA from 1 species
GACGAACGCUGGCGGCGUGCUUAACACAUGCAAGUCGAACGGAAAGGCCCUGCUUUUGUGGGGUGCUCGAGUGGCGAACGGGUGAGUAACACGUGAGUAACCUGCCCUUGACUUUGGGAUAACUUCAGGAAACUGGGGCUAAUACCGGAUAGGAGCUCCUGCUGCAUGGUGGGGGUUGGAAAGUUUCGGCGGUUGGGGAUGGACUCGCGGCUUAUCAGCUUGUUGGUGGGGUAGUGGCUUACCAAGGCUUUGACGGGUAGCCGGCCUGAGAGGGUGACCGGCCACAUUGGGACUGAGAUACGGCCCAGACUCCUACGGGAGGCAGCAGUGGGGAAUAUUGCACAAUGGGCGGAAGCCUGAUGCAGCAACGCCGCGUGCGGGAUGACGGCCUUCGGGUUGUAAACCGCUUUCGCCUGUGACGAAGCGUGAGUGACGGUAAUGGGUAAAGAAGCACCGGCUAACUACGUGCCAGCAGCCGCGGUGAUACGUAGGGUGCGAGCGUUGUCCGGAUUUAUUGGGCGUAAAGGGCUCGUAGGUGGUUGAUCGCGUCGGAAGUGUAAUCUUGGGGCUUAACCCUGAGCGUGCUUUCGAUACGGGUUGACUUGAGGAAGGUAGGGGAGAAUGGAAUUCCUGGUGGAGCGGUGGAAUGCGCAGAUAUCAGGAGGAACACCAGUGGCGAAGGCGGUUCUCUGGGCCUUUCCUGACGCUGAGGAGCGAAAGCGUGGGGAGCGAACAGGCUUAGAUACCCUGGUAGUCCACGCUGUAAACGGUGGGUACUAGGUGUGGGGUCCAUUCCACGGGUUCCGUGCCGUAGCUAACGCUUUAAGUACCCCGCCUGGGGAGUACGGCCGCAAGGCUAAAACUCAAAGGAAUUGACGGGGCUCCGCACAAGCGGCGGAGCAUGCGGAUUAAUUCGAUGCAACGCGUAGAACCUUACCUGGGUUUGACAUGGAUCGGGAGCGCUCAGAGAUGGGUGUGCCUCUUUUGGGGUCGGUUCACAGGUGGUGCAUGGCUGUCGUCAGCUCGUGUCGUGAGAUGUUGGGUUAAGUCCCGCAACGAGCGCAACCCUUGUUCACUGUUGCCAGCACGUUAUGGUGGGGACUCAGUGGAGACCGCCGGGGUCAACUCGGAGGAAGGUGGGGAUGACGUCAAGUCAUCAUGCCCCUUAUGUCCAGGGCUUCACGCAUGCUACAAUGGCUGGUACAGAGAGUGGCGAGCCUGUGAGGGUGAGCGAAUCUCGGAAAGCCGGUCUCAGUUCGGAUUGGGGUCUGCAACUCGACCUCAUGAAGUCGGAGUCGCUAGUAAUCGCAGAUCAGCAACGCUGCGGUGAAUACGUUCCCGGG